AGAAUAGAGGAAAAUACAGAAAGAGAGAAACAAAUAUCGUGCAGACUGAAAAAAGAACAAGAAAAACAUAAAGAGAAUUGACAGUGAGGUGCUCAGUGUUGGUUCAUUUUCAACAAAUGACGGGACUGAAAGCCAAAAGCAAAGCGGGGAAGUGAGAGAAACGUUGGGUGCCUGUCUAGGGCAAGGGAAACACAAACGCGCUUCACCCAAAACUGCCAUGAGCAUAUAUAAUUGAGACAAUCGAACUGGGAGCAUCGGAGCACAUCCAGGAGCUGUGGUGUACUAGCAUACAGGCGCUGGUUCAACACAAGAAGUCUUGUGACAGGAUAAUAACAUGCAAGGGCAAUCAACGAAAAACAUUUUGUGCUGCUCAAAAAUAUUCGCUCUCUCGUUGAAAUAUUUACUGCUUUAAACCAAUAACGAGUCGUGCACGGAUUGGUCGGGGCGAGGUCUGAUGCUUGGAUUUGUUUAUUUUUUAACAGAACGUCGCAAAUUGGAUUUGCGCGAGCCAGCUUAGAAGAACGUCUUGCUAUCUCUGUCAGGUUUCUGCAAAGGAGAGAACGAGGUGAUUAGUUUGAACAGACUGGGUGUCUGAGGAGAAGAGGGGCAGAGAUGACUUGGAGGUGGAGAAACUGACACAGCCUCACAAUCUGGGGGAGGAGACAGGUCUUCAUGUUGUUUAAAGAUUUGGAGCAGUCUGUAUGCAAGAGGUUUGAUCUGUAAAAGGGAGACUAUAAGCUUUCAUGUCCAAUUGGAGCAUGGAAAAGUUUAAAUAUUUUCACAGUGUUCAAAAGUUUAUCAUUCUUCCAAGUACACAUCAGUGUUGUACACAUGUCGUCCACAAUAA